UCUCGGGUGACGAGCGGCGGACGGGUGAGUAAUGUCUGGGAAACUGCCUGAUGGAGGGGGAUAACUACUGGAAACGGUAGCUAAUACCGCAUAACGUCUUCGGACCAAAGUGGGGGACCUUCGGGCCUCAUGCCAUCAGAUGUGCCCAGAUGGGAUUAGCUAGUAGGUGGGGUAAUGGCUCACCUAGGCGACGAUCCCUAGCUGGUCUGAGAGGAUGACCAGCCACACUGGAACUGAGACACGGUCCAGACUCCUACGGGAGGCAGCAGUGGGGAAUAUUGCACAAUGGGCGCAAGCCUGAUGCAGCCAUGCCGCGUGUAUGAAGAAGGCCUUCGGGUUGUAAAGUACUUUCAGCGAGGAGGAAGGCAUUAAGGUUAAUAACCUUGGUGAUUGACGUUACUCGCAGAAGAAGCACCGGCUAACUCCGUGCCAGCAGCCGCGGUAAUACGGAGGGUGCAAGCGUUAAUCGGAAUUACUGGGCGUAAAGCGCACGCAGGCGGUCUGUCAAGUCGGAUGUGAAAUCCCCGGGCUCAACCUGGGAACUGCAUUCGAAACUGGCAGGCUAGAGUCUUGUAGAGGGGGGUAGAAUUCCAGGU
rnacentral:rRNA from 1 species